rnacentral:rRNA from 1 species
CCUACGGGUGGCAGCAGUGAGGAAUAUUGGUCAAUGGACGGAAGUCUGAACCAGCCAUGCCGCGUGAGGGAUGAAGGUCUUCGGAUCGUAAACCUCUGUCAGCAGGGAAGAACGGUCACUGUGCUAAUCAGCAGUGAAUUGACGGUACCUGCAAAGUAAGCACCGGCUAACCCCGUGCCAGCAGCCGCGGUAAUACGGAGGGUGCGAGCGUUAUUCGGAAUUACUGGUCGUAAAGCGCGCGUAGGCGGUAUGUCAAGUCAAGGGUGAACUCCCCGCGCUCAACGUGGGAACUGCCUUUGAAACUAGCAACCUGGAGUGUGUGAGAGGAUAGUGGAAUGCCAGGUGUAGGAGUGAAAUCCGUAGAUAUCUGGAGGAACAUCAGUGGCGAAGGCGACUAUCUGGCACAUAACUGACGCUGAGGAGCGAAAGCGUGGGUAGCAAACAGGAUUAGAUACCCGAGUAGUC